GGGCACGUGGCGGAAUUGGCAGACGCGAAGGACUUAGGAUCCUUUGGAGCAAUCCUUGCAGGUUCGACCCCUGUCGUGCCCACCA
rnacentral:tRNA from 1 species